GGCUGAGUAUUAGGCGAUAGAUUGUAAAUCUAUAUAGGAGGUUAAACCCUCUUUAACCA
rnacentral:tRNA from 1 species